GCGCAGCAGUCGCGAAAACUCCGCAAUACGCGAAAGCGUGACGGGGCUACCCCGAGUGUCGUCCGCUGAGGACGACUUUUCCACGCUGUAAGGAGGCGUGGGAAUAAGGAGAGGGCAAGUCUGGUGUCAGCCGCCGCGGUAAUACCAGCUCUCCGAGUGGUAGGGACGAUUAUUGGGCUUAAAGCGUCCGUAGCCGGCUCAGCAAGUCUCCCGUUAAAUCCAACGAUUCAAUCGUUGGACUGCGGGAGAUACUGUUGAGCUAGGAGGCGGGAGAGGCCGACGGUAUUCCCGGAGUAGGGGUGAAAUCUUAUAAUUCCGGGAGGACCACCAGUGGCGAAGGCUGUCGGCUAGAACGCGCUCGACGGUGAGGGACGAAAGCUGGGGGAGCGAACCGGAUUAGAUUUGGAAAGGAGAAAUAUCCGUCCACUGAAGACCCGGGAGUCC
rnacentral:rRNA from 1 species